rnacentral:rRNA from 1 species
GACGAACGCUGGCGGCGUGCUUAAUACAUGCAAGUCGAACGAGGUUGAUCCAGUGGAAACACUGGUGACUACCUAGUGGCGAACGGGUGAGUAACACGUGAGCAACCUGCCCCGAAGACCGGGAUAACAGUGGGAAACCGCUGCUAAUACCGGAUACCCCCACCGGAUCACAUGGUCUGAUGAGGAAAUGGAUUCCGCUUCGGGAGGGGCUCGCGGCCUAUCAGCUUGUUGGUGGGGUAACGGCCUACCAAGGCGACGACGGGUAGCCGGCCUGAGA